rnacentral:lncRNA from 10 species
CUGGUUGGCAACUUGGGAGUAUUCAGUUUCAGUGACAUACCAAAUUCCUAUCCUUGCAUGUUCCCAGAAUUGAGAUAAAAUGACAUUAACGCUACAAAAGCUCAUAUAAUGACUGUUUGUGACAGCGAAAACGAAUGUGCUAAUGUAAAACUUUGCAUUAAGUUGAAAUGCUAUGGAAAACACAUGGGGAAUUCUUCUUAUCUCCUGUGCUGCAGAAUUGUGGCUGACAGACAGGGAACAUAAAUCACGACAUUUUAUUCAAAGACAAUAAAUGCACCAACUCAACUAACACAACCUGAAGACAAGCCAGAAUAACUCUAGAAGGAGAAAAAGGUAACAUCUGAACAUGUCCUCAGCUGAGGUGUUCCUGUAAGAGACAGAAGACGAGACACAGAUAAAGAAGAGAAGUCCUCAUGGAGAUGGAGGCAGGACUGGAGUGAUGCGGCCACAAGCCCAGGGAAGCCUGAAGUCCCCCAGAAAUGGGAGAGGCAGGAAGGAUUCUCCCCUAGAGCCUCCAAAGGGAGCACCACCCGGAGACACCUUGAUUUCAGAUUUCUGGUGCCCAGAAAUGGUAGAGAAUAAAUUUCUGUUGUUUAAGCCUCCCGGUCUGUGACACUUUUGCUACAGCAGCCCCAGAAAACUCAAACACAACACUCUGUGUGUGUGCUCCUACAGUAACUUCCAUAUACCUCUCAUGGGAGAGGAAGGGGAUUAUUCUUCCAACAAGAUGGAGACUUGCACACAUGCCUUGUAGACACAGAGGAAGCAAAAAGCACAGAAAAGUACUCAGAGGCUUCGCAGACACGUGGGAGACCCUCCUCAGUUGGUAAAACGCCACAGCAAUACCUUACAAUGGGCACAGAACUGUAACAUAAGGAGUGAUCUUCUUUUCUGAGGAGCCAAGGCUAAGAAAACUGAUUCUCGCUGAAAAAGAAAGCAUUUCCAAUGCACACCAGACAUAAAUAAUUCAUGCAAACCAACAUGAAUUAUUUUAGUACGUGGCUUUCAUAAAGUAACUUCUUUGUCUUCAUUAUAUAACCCCUAAAACUUCUCAAAGACUACUCUCAGACUUGUUAAAGCUGAAAAAGCUUAACUAUACAUAUAAACACUGUCAUAUAUCAAAGGCAUAUUUCACCUUACAAAGCAUGCUCACUAGGGCUUUGCUCACGAGACACCAAAAACACGUUCAGUUGCACUUCACCCUGAAAGCAGAAUCUCUUAUCCCUGAAUCAGAAGGGACGUAGGCACACGAAGUCCCAGGGAGAAAAGAGGCAUAUAUAUCGUGCUGAGUUAACAAGAUUUGGCACUUGUCUUUUUCACAGGAAAAGAAGGAACAUGAAAGAUAAGGAUUUUGGCAGUCUCACUAAUUUUUAUAUGGGACGCGGGAUGGGAGAUGAACCCUACCGGAGAUGAUUAUAAAUACCAGUUUGUCUUUGAAACCAGUUUUACGAAUUAAUGCAAUGCCUUAUUUCUUUCUUCUGGAGGAGUCUGUGGUCUCCUUUCAUCCUCAGAUUCUUCGUAGAAGAAAACUGCUCAGAUGUCCUGAGCAAAAUGAUCAAAUUCCAAAACCCAGGGUUUAAGAAAGCAGACAGAAAGCCACAGAGAGGGGAAGUGGUUAAAGAGAGGGGACAUUCCAAAAAGACAGCCACUUAGCACAAACAAUUCAAAUUCCAGUGUUGUUGGUGCCAGAAUCCUUUUCACUGUUGGUGAUGGGAUUUUGAGAAAAGUGUUUCAAAUAGAAGAAUUUGAGGUGUCUUAAAAAUGGGUUUCCAAAGAAAGUGGAGGAGGCGUGAAAAGAUUCCAUUAUCCAGUUGAGAUCGUCAAGUAUCCUGCUGAUCUAUGUGCGGGUCUGGAUACACACAGCCUUCAGGAACUUGGGCACAAACAAAAUCUACUGUGAUGGUUAACACUGAGUGUCAACUGGACUGAUUGAAGGAUGCAAAGUACUGUUCCUGGGUGUGCCUGUGAGGGUGUUGCCAAAGGAGGUGAACAUUUGAGUCAGUGAACUGGGAGAGGCAGACCCACCCUCAGUCUAAGUGGGCACUGUCUCAUCAGCUGCCAGCACAGGUAGGAUAAAGCAGGUAGGAGAAGAUGGAAAAGCAGACUUGCUUAGUCUUCUGGCCUUUAUCUUUCUCCUGUGCUGGAUGCUUCCUGCCCUCGAACAUCAGACUCCAAGUUCUUGGACUUACACCAGUGGUUUGCCAGAGCCUCUCGGGCCUUCGGCCACAGACAGACAGCUGCACUGUUGGCUUCCCUACUUCUGAGGUUUUGGGACUCAGACUGGUUUCCUUGCUCCUCAGCUUGCAGAAGACCUGUUGUGGGACUUCAUUUUGUGAUUGUGGGUCAUUGGGCCACAUCCAGGAAGAACUACCAGAGAAAUCAGCCCAGGCUCAGUCAGCUACAAGUCCCAGGACUGUGGAAGCCAGGGGUCUCCAGAGACAGAGCACCCCACAUCUGAAAGGGCUGAGACACACAGCCCUUGGCCGCUCUAGGAUUCAGUGAUUCCCAACGCGUAUCCUGAAACUCUGAUAAAACAAUGUGCCUCUGUCUCCUGAGUGAAACCGUUUAUGGAGUUAAGUUUACCAGCAUCUGUUUAUUUGGCUACACUGUGAAUGUUAAACAGUUUUUAGAGGUUAUCUGAAUAACUGGCACAGGUGAAAUAAAAUGAAAUAAAAUGUUGUGUUUCCCUCCUUGUGUGCUGGGUUAACUCUUUUGGGAUAUAACAAAGCUUUGAUAUGCCAGCUUUAUAGAUGAUUGAUACUGUGUGCUUGGGUCUUAUUAGCAAUUAAUUACAUCAUUCAUUCAUUCAUUCAUUCAUCAAUUCACCCAUUCAACAGAUGCCUACCCAAAGGUCUUCACAUGCCCAGAAUUUUCCUGGUCACUGGUCAUAACAACAGAGACCUUAUGGAUUUUACAGAGCAGCAAAAGAG